UAGUUCUGUCAUCGCAAACUGCGCAUGCGUCAAUGUCAACGUCCAGGCGGGAAUCGCGGAAUUCAAAUUCAACGUCUUCCAGCGGGACCGCGAAGAGUUGAGGUGCAGAAAAAUCUUAAUGAAAGCAUUUGAAGAGCAGAAAGAAGAAUUGUAGCAGUUUUCACCUAAUUCAGGAGCACGAACUUGAGGGCCACACACACCAAAUUAUGAAGAUUUUAGUGAUUCACAAUCCCACAGCCGAGGAGGACCCAUCAGAUGUGUGGGUUGUUGUUGAGGGCAACAAAGUCCUUACUGGAUGUGGAAACAAAACCACAGCAUGCAUUCUGUUGAUGGGGUUGAUGUAUGCCCUCAACCUGGAAUACCCAAAAACCCUUAAAUACACUUUUGACAUGUUCCAAAAACUUUUUUGGAACUUGA